rnacentral:rRNA from 1 species
UACGUAGGGGGCUAGCGUUGUCCGGAUUUAUUGGGCGUAAAGAGCGUGUAGGCGGCCAUGUAGGUCCGGUGUGAAAACUCGAGGCUUAACCUCGAGAUGUCAUCGGAAACCAUUUGGCUAGAGUCCGGAAGAGGAGAGUGGAAUUCCUGGUGUAGCGGUGAAAUGCGCAGAUAUCAGGAAGAACGCCCGUGGCGAAGGCGGCUCCCUGGGACGGUACUGACGCUGAGACGCGAAAGCGUGGGGAGCAAACAGG